UACGGAGGGUGCAAGCGUUAUCCGGAUUCACUGGGUUUAAAGGGUGCGUAGGUGGGUUGGUAAGUCAGUGGUGAAAUCUCCGGGCUUAACUCGGAAACUGCCAUUGAUACUAUCAAUCUUGAAUAUCGCGUAGGUAAGCGGAAUAUGUCAUGUAGCGGUGAAAUGCUUAGAUAUGACAUAGAACACCAAUUGCGAAGGCAGCUUACUUCACGAUCAUUGACACUGAGGCACGAAAGCGUGGGGAGCAAACAGG
rnacentral:rRNA from 1 species